AUAAAUUGGAAAAAUUUUGGAGAUUUGCUGCUGUUGGCAAAACAGAUAAACUACACAGCCUAGAAAUAUUGAAAACAUUGUUCACCCGGGCCCCGCAGCCAGUGGAAUUGGCCCCACUCUGUGGCUGCCGGGGCCUGUGCACUGGAAUUGCCGUGGCCUGCAAGCCCCACCAUGCCAGUUUGAACCUCCGUGGCCUCAACCAGAUUCGGAAUGUCAAAAAGCAGAGUAUCUAUUGGAUGAAUUUGAGGAAAUCAGGAAGUUUGGGCCACCCAGCCUCUCUAGAUGAGACUUCCUAUGAAAGACUAGCAGAGGAAUCACUGGACUGUUUAGCAGAGUUUUUUGAAGACCUUGCAGACAAGCCAUACACGUUUGAGGAUUAUGAUGCUUCCUUUGGGAGUGAUGUCUUAACUGGUAGACUGGGUGGAGAUCUAGGAACCUACGUGAUCAACAAGCAGAUGCCAAACAAGCAAAUCUGGUUAUCUUCUCCAUCCAGUGGACUCAAGCGUUAUGACUGGACUGGGAAAAACUGGGUGUACUCCCACGAUAGCGUGUCCCUCCGUGAUCUGCUGGCUGCAGAGCUCACUAAAGCCUUAAAAACCAAACCGGACUUGUCUUCCUUGGCCUAUUCUGGAAAAGACGCUUGAUACCCAGCCCAGUUGUAAGGUUAUUUAAAGCUGUCAGGCCAAGACCCCAGCUUCAUUAUGCAGCUGAGGUCUUUUUUUUUUUUUUUUGGUUUUUUGUUUUUCAUUCCUGCCUUUGAGGAACAGCUCUGUGGCAAGAAUGUGUUGCCUCCUACCUUGCCCGCACGUUUUGAUUUGUAAUUUCUACAGAUUUUUUUGGAUUGUCUGAUUUCCUCCCUCACAUGAUACCCUUUAUCUUUUAUAAUGUCUUAUCCCUAUACCUGAACAUAGCAACCUUUAAAAAAGCAAAAGAAUAAGAAGGACAAGUUCCAGGAGGAGAAAUGAAUUGUCUUCACUCUUCAUUCUAUGAAGGACUUAGGGCAAGAAGUACAUGAAGAGCAGCUGGUUUACCUGUUCACUAUUCUGUCUCAAAAUGAGACACAUUAAUGGGUAGGCUACAAAUGUUCCCGGGCUUAUUUCAAAGUGGAAGCACUUCUGAGCUCUUUAGCAUUGAAGUGUCGAAAGCAGUUCACAUGGGAAGACAAUUUCUGAUGUGUGCUCUGUGACUGCCAGGGUGUGGCCUGCACUGGGUUGUCCAGGGAGACCUAGUGCUGUUUCUUCCACAUGUUCACGUGUGUAUAUGUGUGUGUGUGUACUUUUAUAUAUGUUUUUUUCAACUUAAGGGUUAGUAUGGAUUCAGCUGCCACAAGUAUGCAAAAAACUUCCAAUCACAAGAAAGGAGAAAAAAAGCCAUUUUCAUAAACUGAGUGAUGUAGCAUAAUAAACAAAAUCAUGGAGCUGAGGAGUUACUUUGUGAACGUGAAGGGGCAUAUAAAGGAAAGAGAUACUCAUGUCGAUAAAGAGAACCUAGUCCUAGAUGCAGUUCAGCCACAAAGUAGUUGUCCCUUUGUGAACAAGUUUCCCAAACUCCUUGGGCCUCUGCUUUCCCAUCUGUUAAAUGAGGGGAUGGAGUGUGGUUGAUUUCCAGCAUUCAGUGGUCCUGUCAAGCAGCCUAACAGGCUAGCUCUAAUUCCCAUUGGGUAGAUGAGGGGAUGACAAAGAGCAAUUUGUAAGCUAUAUAGGAAAUGUUAUUGGUAUCCCCCUAUCGGGAUUUCAGUUGAAUUCAUGUUAAAAUAAUAGCCAUCCUUUAUUGUGCGCUUACUGGGUUAAGCCUAUUAUACCAUAUUACCUCAUUUUAAUUUCUACCGACCUGCAGUUUAUACAUGAAGCAACUAGGCUCCAGGACAUUAAAACUCACACAAAGUUAUGCUCAUAUUAUUUUCUUACUGAAAGAAGGAUUUAUUAGUGACAAGUUUGUAUUAAUAUGUAGCAAAGGCUUUUCCAAUGGGUGAAUAAAAACACAUUACA